GGGAGCAGCUUUUUGCUGUCUGCUGCAGCGGCAGCGAGAAGACAGACAACAGAAAACCCGAAAAUUAAAGAAAAAAAAUAGACCUGAGCCUAAGAGGGUUUUACUUUAGAGGUAAAAAGAAAAAAAAAAAAACAAAGAAAGGAAAGUUUUCAGCCGUUAGCGUGUCCGCAGAAAAGCGGAAAGGAGCCUCGCGCUUCUUCCGUAAACGUUCACGUCUGAGAAAUCGCACGAGGAUCCGAAAGCGACGCUUCGACCACAAACUGGUGUCGGUUUUUGCGUCUUCGGUUCUGAAUGCGUCAAAAUGCAUCAGAGCCGCGACCCUGAGACGCAGAAAUAAAAACAUUCUCAGAAAUGAUUUAUGGGCCAUGGUUAAAAAGCAGGAAGAUGUUUGGACCUGAAGCAAAAGGUUGACAGCAUCGCACUUUUUUUCUGCAGCACAGAGGAGAGCGUAAUAUGCUAUUCUUGGAGGUCUGUUUUGACGCACUAAGCUACAAUACUGGAGGGAUUUCUCUAUCCAAUAAUUACUGUUCACCUACUGCCAGACUCCCCUCUCUGCAGUGUGUCCUCGUCACGUCUCGUGGGAUCAGCAACGAGGAUGUUUCCCUGGAAACUGGACAGCUAUAUUGUUCAUUACUGUGCUAUCCCUGAGCUGCUGCCAAAAAAAAAAAAUGGUUUUAGGAUUUUUACGUUUUAAAGUACGUUGUGCACACGUUGUUAAAGAUAUCUGAUUAUGCAUUUUGAGUUGUACAUGAUAUAAUUGUGAGUUUAUUUUUGAAAAAAUACCAUCUCAGAUUGGGAUUUAUUCAGCCGGAGAAAUCAAAGCUCUUCGAUCGAUCGCCUGCGGUUCUCCCCACCUUGAAAUGAUGUGUUUGCACAAGCCUUCCCACACACUGCCACUCAAUAUCAGGCUCAGUAAAUGGCCACUCAGACCCACUAGGAAACCCACACUGACGAUAGUCUGCGGUUUAUAUAAGACUCCCACUACAAUAUUGUUGAAAAAGAUUGCCUCGAAUGAAUCAGUCUCACAGAAGCACCUGAAAGUGUGCUCCUCCUGCUUGCUAUAAGGAUUUCUUGCAAAAAAAAAUUGAAAAUAAACUUCUCGAUCGGAGAGCAUGUGAGGGCAGAUCUUUCAGGAUCUUUCAGGUCAGGGUUAUUAUCUCUCCCACACCCUGCUUGAACAUGAUGUUCCUUUAUAACGUCUGAGUGUCCUCAGGCGCGCACGGCUCAUGUCACGCUGCCGCACAACAGCCAGCGAUGAGCUACGAUACACACAUUAAAUCAUAUGUGACUUGGAGUUACAUGGGCAAACCUUCCCACAUUUCCACAUUGUAAAACCUGACCAUUGUGCUGGAUGAUUAACUACGUGCAUUUGCCCUGUUUUCAGUUCCGGUUUAAGCGAAGGAAUGCAGUUUAUUGUGUUUCAUACCUCAAACAACACGUAAUAAAAGCGUACACUGAAUAUAUUUAUUGCUUUCCAGAUAAUAAAAUAAUCUAACCUUAAA